GGACAGCCUUGGGAGUUUUUGAGGUCUCCCAGGUUGGAUGGUGACAAAAAAAGGAGCAAUAUUGACCGUGGCUUAACCUCGAUGUACAUUUGAUUUAUGAGCUCUGUAAAAACAAAAUCACUGGAAUGUAACGCAAUAUCAAUAUCUCUCUUUUCCAUCACCAAAAGCCAUUAGUCAUAAAAAUCAUGCAGGUAUUCUGGCAAAGACACUGCUUUUUACCCAUUCACUGUCACUCACUGUAAAAGAUUUGUCUCAAAUGUCUCAAAGUACUGGCAGGCACUGAAAAGACCCGGUUACGAUUACUGACACGGACACCGUCUUUUAUAAAGAGGUAUGAGGCACACCUUUCACACUUGUACUCUGGUCUGCACACAGGACUUUGAAACGCCAUGGGGCCACAAUGGAUUUGUCUCUCUCUUUUGUUUAUAAUAUACACAGAGCACGUUCAAGGCAAUCAUAAGAAGCACGACACCUCUUUGAAGCCAGUCAGUGAUGUCACCUCUGUGGAUCCAAACUCUGUGGAUCCAAGCACACAUUUUCCUGACUCACUCUGCAAAUGCAAAGUAGAUGGAAGAUGGGAGGAGAAGAACCUGUGCUUCUGUGCCAAGAAUGCCCGACGCAAAAACAGACGUGUGAAUUGGAGGAAACUUUGCCAAGGGACAAUCAGGAAACACAAGUGCCGCUUUUUUAAGCAGAGGCAGAGGACUUUACCCCCCAUUGUCCCCAUCUGAAGCACGAGAAGUCUUUUUCCUCUUUCAAGAUAUAGCCUAUAAACUGUAAACGUCUUGUUCAUAUUAAUAGCAGUAGUGCAUUUGUUGUAAGCAUGCUUCACAUAUUUUUUUAAAUAAUAAAUACCUAG
rnacentral:lncRNA from 1 species